rnacentral:rRNA from 1 species
GACGUCGGGCGCAAGCGUUGUCCGGAUUUAUUGGGCGUAAAGAGCUCGUAGGCGGCCUGUCGCGUCGACCGUGAAAACCCGCAGCUCAACUGCGGGCUUGCGGUCGAUACGGGCAGGCUGGAGUUCGGUAGGGGAGACUGGAAUUCCUGGUGUAGCGGUGAAAUGCGCAGAUAUCAGGAGGAACACCGGUGGCGAAGGCGGGUCUCUGGGACGAUACUGACGCUGAGGAGCGAAAGCGUGGGGAGCGAACAGG